GUGUCCUUGGCCGAGCGGCAAAGGUCCCGGACUUCCAAUCCGGCUAGGUGGGUUCGACUCCCGCAGGACACUC
rnacentral:tRNA from 1 species